UACGUAGGAGACGAGCGUUGUCCGGAGUUACUGGGCGUAAAGGGUGCGCAGGUGGCGGCGCGCGUGGGGGGUGAAAUCGCCCGGCUUAACUGGGCGGGGGCCUUCCAGACGGCGUGGCUUGAGCAGCGGAGGGGGACGUGGAAUUCCGGGUGGAGCGGUGAAAUGCGUAGAGAUCGGGAAGAACAUCGGUGGCGAAAGCGCUCUACUGGACCGCAACUGACACUCAGGGACGAAAGCUAGGGGAGCGAAUGGG
rnacentral:rRNA from 1 species